AUUGAACGCUGGCGGCAGGCCUAACACAUGCAAGUCGAGCGGAUGAAGGGAGCUUGCUCCUGGAUUCAGCGGCGGACGGGUGAGUAAUGCCUAGGAAUCUGCCUGGUAGUGGGGGAUAACGUCCGGAAACGGGCGCUAAUACCUCAUACGUCCUGAGGGAGAAAGUGGGGGAUCUUCGGACCUCACGCUAUCAGAUGAGCCUAGGUCGGAUUAGCUAGUUGGUGGGGUAAAGGCCUACUAAGGCGACGAUCCGUAACUGGUCUGAGAGGAUGAUCAGUCACACUGGAACUGAGACACGGUCCAGACUCCUACGGGAGGCAGCAGUGGGGAAUAUUGGACAAUGGGCGAAAGCCUGAUCCAGCCAUGCCGCGUGUGUGAAGAAGGUCUUCGGAUUGUAAAGCACUUUAAGUUGGGAGGAAGGGCAGUAAGUUAAUACCUUGCUGUUUUGACGUUACCAACAGAAUAAGCACCGGCUAACUUCGUG
rnacentral:rRNA from 1 species